rnacentral:rRNA from 1 species
UCGCCUGUUUAUCAAAAACAUCGCCUCCUGCAGUAUAAAGUAUAGGAGGUCCAGCCUGCCCAGUGACUACGGGUUCAACGGCCGCGGUAUAUUGACCGUGCAAAGGUAGCGCAAUCACUUGUCUCUUAAAUAGAGACCUGUAUGAAUGGCUAGACGAGGGCUUAACUGUCUCCCCCUUCCAGUCAGUGAAAUUGAUCUAUCCGUGCAGAAGCGGGUAUAGUUCUACAAGACGAGAAGACCCUUUGGAGCUUAAGGUACAAAAUUCACCCAUGUUAAACAACUCCAUAGAAAGCAAGAACUUUAUGGGUAUGAAACUUUACCUUCGGUUGGGGCGACCACGGAGGAAAAACAAGCCUCCGAGUGGACUGGGCCAAAAUCCCUAAAGCUGAAAGAGACAUCUUUAAGCCGCAGAACAUCUGACCAAUAAUGAUCCGGCUAAAAAGCCGAUCAACGGACCAAGUUACCCUAGGGAUAACAGCGCAAUCCUCUCCCAGAGCCCAUAUCGACGAGGGGGUUUACGACCUCGAUGUUGGAUCAGGACAUCCUGGUGGUGCAGCCGCUAUUAAGGGUUCGUUUGUUCAACGAUUAAAGUCCUACGUGAUCUGAGUUCAGACCGG